ACAACAAAUAGGAGUUUUUAUAGCAUUAGAUUAUAGCGUUCUUUUAGGAAUGCUGUUGUAGGGAUACAUUUAUAGCGUUCAUGAAGAGAAAAAGAAGGAAGUCCUCGCGCCCUAUCUAUAACAGCGUUCAUUAACUCAAAAAUAGCGUUCCACUAAAAAAUACAACGCCAUUCCUCCGCGCCCUAAUCCCAUACCCCUUUACAAAAAUUCCAGAUCGAGAAGGGGGGACAUCUCCUCUCUCUCUCUCUCUCUUUCUCUCCAUCAGAUCUUGGACCCCCAGCGACCAACAACGGCCAUGGGUAGCUUAGCUAGCAGCACAUUGACAUCUCCACCACUGCUAGCACCACCAAGUUGCGACGGCUGCUGGUGUUCCGGCCUCUAGACGCGUGUCUCUCGUAGUUUCCCCCACUAGCUAUUAUCCUCUCUCUCCCCUCCUUUGUAUACAUGUGUAUCAGUGUAUCACUGACCCUGCCCACAAGCUGUUCGACGGAAUCUCCCAACCAAAUUCUUUUGUUUUGCCAUCAGUGAUUCAUGGGUGCUUUGGAAACUUUGAAUACAAAGAAGAUGUAGAUGCUAGGUGUUUCUUUGCUCAAAUGCAAGAGAAGAGUUUGGUCGCUUGACCUACAAUGGUUGGAGGUUAUACUAAAAAGUGACAGGCGCGUUGUGGAUUGUAAUUGCUGAAGCAGAAAGAUUUCGUACCAAGCAGAAAGAUUUCGUACCACUUCUACUUCAUGAUGUUCUUUCUCAUCCUCAUGCAAUGGCAUGGAAGACUCAAGAGAUUUUGGCAUAGGAAACUGAAAUUUAUUGCACAAGAUAAUCCAGAUGCCUAGAAAACAAGCACGGGCAGUAGGCAUAGGCUCAUUCAUUUAAGGUUGACGACAGCCUUAUAGCGUAAAAAGAUUUUUUCCAAAGAUUAAGGUGGUCUGUCACAUGAUCUGAACAUGACAUUUUUAAGGUCUGAUUUGGGAUUCUCAAGCAGGUUCGCAAACAUAUCAGUAGGUGUUCAUGGCAUUCUUGAAGUUUCAAGCAGUUGAGUAAGAGCACUCCAAAGAAUCAAAAAGUAAGGUCUCUAUUCUACUUUUCGAGAUUUAAUACUUGUCUGGGAAAGUAGUUAAUUUACUAAGCGUUUUUACAUGGUCUUUGUCUAUUGAUGCUUUGACUCUAUGGUGAAAACAUCAAUGUUUAGCGUAUUAUGUAAGGCACCGUAAAAGUCUUAGCAUUGUAGUCCUGCCUUAGCGAUCAAUUAAGGAAAUGAAAUAUAGAAAGUUACCUUGUUGAUGCCAACUUUUUUGGUAUAUGUGUAGCAUUGACUAAGUUGAGCCCUCAUAAAUCACAUGUUGCAAUUAGAAGAAUGUUCCUGUGACUCCCUUGAAAUGGAUCCCUUAAAAAGACUGUUUUUUCCUCAUUAUAUGGCAUCAUAGUUAAACUUUCAUUGUCACAAAAAUCAAAGAGGAAAGGAAAAUAUUUGUCUAACAAUA